CUUCACUCUCAUUAGAAGUUACAUCAUUAAUAUCAAGGGCUUAUUAUGAUCAAUAAAGCCCAGCAUUUCAAAAUUGAAUCUAUAACUACAUAACUGUGACUAUGGAGCAUGGAAACCACGAACUAUGAACUUCUUCAGGAAAGGAACAUGUCUUAUUCAUGGAAACACAGGAUCUAGCAUGGAGAACAUGUAUCUGUGACUUGAAUUAGAUCAACUUACGACAAAGAGAUAAUGGCCUUUCUUCUAAAAAUCCACCUCCACUUCUAAUCCAAAAUUG